ACUCAAAGGAAUUGACGGGGGCCCGCACAAGCAGCGGAGCGUGUGGUUUAAUUCGACGCAACGCGAAGAACCUUACCCAGGCUUGACAUGUAUGUGGUAGGGACCUGAAAGGGAACCGACCCGCAAGGGAGCAUGCACAGAUGCUGCAUGGCUGUCGUCAGCUCGUGCCGUGAGGUGUUGGGUUAAGUCCCGCAACGAGCGCAACCCUCGUGGUCAGUUGAAUUUCUCUGGCCAGACCGCUGCGACCAACGCAGAGGAAGGUGGGGAUGACGUCAAGUCAUCACGGCUCUUACGCCUGGGGCUACACACACGCUACAAUGGGUGGUACAGAGGGUUGCCAAAGCGCGAGCUGGAGCUAAUCCCACAAAGCCAUCCUCAGUUCAGAUUGCAGGCUGAAACUCGCCUGCAUGAAGGCGGAGUUGCUAGUAACCGCAGGUCAGCACACUGCGGUGAAUACGUUCCCGGGCCUUGUACACACCGCCCGU
rnacentral:rRNA from 1 species